UCCUCCUCAUCCCCCCUUCCCUCUUUCCCUUCUCUCUCUCCUCCUCCACCACAAGAAGUUCCUUAGUCUCUCAAUCUCCAGUUUCCAGUAGUCUCUCUAUCUUUGGAAGUUACUCCAGCUUUGUCAAGGCUCCCGCAGUGUGGAGGACUAUGCGGUUGAUUUCCGCACAUUGGCUGCCGAGAGUGCCUGGAACCCGGAAUCCCAGUUCGACAUGUUCCUUCAUGGAUUAUCGGUUUAGGUUAAAUACGAGCUUGCAGCCCGGGAGCUGCCUACGGAUCUUGACUUGCUCAUCGCCUUGACCAUCCGGAUUGAUUGGCGGCUACAGGAACGUAGGAGGGAGAAGAGGUCUGAUUCCGGUCCCACUCGAUCACCCAAGGCUCCCACCUUGCCUCCGAGGAAUCCAGGAAGUCCCCGGCGUCUACGUUCCCGAGAGAAUCCGAGGUUACUCUAAUUCCCCCGAGAGUCUCUGCGGGCUGCCGACUCGCCUCUUCCGGAGCCGAUGCAACUCGGCAGAGCUAGGCUGUCUCCAGCCGAACAUUUACGCAGAUUUAACACCAAGAGUUGUCUGUAUUGCGGGACUACCGGUCAUUACGUGUCUACCUGUCCAUUAAAAGACCAGGCUCAUCAGUAGGUACGAGUACUCUGGUGGGCCAUAUGGAGAAUUUUUCUAUUCCCCUUACUCACGCCCCUCUCCAUGCCAUCCCGCUGUUGGGCAACCAGUCGAAAUCUCUCCGGGUUCUCAUUGACUCUGGGGCCGAUGAGAGUUUCAUGGACGCUUCCCUGGUGUCAGAGUUGGGCAUCCCCACUCAGCCCCUCACCAUUCCCAUGGACGUUAGUGCGCUGGAUAGGCGUUCUAUAGGCAGAGUCACCCACAAUACUACUCCUAUCAACCUGCGAGUGUCAGGGAACCACAGAGUCAAUGUAGUUCAUGCUCAUCAAGUCUCCUCAGGUUCAUGUUUUUUGGGGGUUUUCUUUGGUCCAGCAACACAAUCCCCUUAUCAACUGGACUGCUGGUGCUAUCAUGGGUUGGAGCCCGUUCUGCUACACCCAUUGCCUGAAGUCGGCGCAGCCUGCCCCGGUAUGUCUUCCUGUGGGCUCGGAAGAAGCCUCUGACCUCUCCGCCGUUCCCGCGGAGUACCAGGACCUCUGGGAGGUUUUCAGCAAGGCCCGGGCCACUUCGCUUCCCUCACAUCGACCCUAUGACUGCGGGAUCGACCUUCUCCCGGGCACUACACCACCCCGGGGAAGGCUGUAUUCACUGUCAGGUCCGGAGACCAAGGCUAAGAAGACGUACACUACCGCUCAAAAGUUUGGGGUCACUUAGAAAUGUCCUUGUUUUAGAAAGAAAAGCAAUUUUUUUGUCCAUUAAAAUAACAUAAAAUUGAUCCGAAAUACAGUGUAGACAUUGUUAAUGGCGGCUUCACUUAUCACCCCCCACCCCCGAGGGGGCAUGUGCACAUGUGCUCACUAUGGGCAUGAUGCAUCUGAUGGCUCUCAUCACACUUUAUCAGUGUAAUCAACCUGCGUUCUGGGUGAUAAGAGCCAGACCAGGUUCUGUGGUUAUGCUAUGGGUCUGUGGUUCUCCUCUCCCAGCAUGUUGCUGUGUCCCACACAUGUACCAGAUGUAGUAUCGCUAGCUGUUUAGCUGAGUGUACAAGUACUGUUUCCCUUGCUGAACCAAGACCAUAGUUGCCACGUACAGCGAUGACUGUAUCCCAUAACGACCAUUAUAGAUUCUCAGUUCUGUGUGUCUCUGGUACUGACUCCUUUUGCUUGCACUCCAAAGCCUCUCUUCUGAGAAAAGCCUCUCUUCCUCCUUACCUCUCAGAGUGCGUCACCUCAGCUUUGUUACCAUGCAAGACAAAAUAAAUAAAUGAGACCAAACACAGAGAGUAAACAUAUAAUGAGAGUCAUAUGAUUAUGUGACAGUGAUGUCGUUAGGGGGCAGUGAUCCAGCCCAGAAUGUGAUGCACAGGAAGAGAGAGCAAUGACCAUAGGAGGGGAGGGGAGGGGAAGAAAGAUUGUGAGCCUUGACGCUGUGGAGCUGCCUGGAGGAGAGCAGAACACCACACAGCCGGCUGCCAUAAGGGAAACAACAUUGACCAGGUUGUUUAUGUGAGCCCAAGCUGCAGUACAUUCUCCUAACUCCAACUCCACAUGUGUGAAUGGCGUCUCUGUUUGACAGAGCCAUGCCAGAUCCUUUGUUUGUCUCCUCCCUGAUCUUCGUUCCUGAUUUUCUCAAACAUCUCAUUUCAGACCAGAGGGUAUUUGUUCUUAAUCUGGAUCUUUCAAAGCGGGACUGUGAUCAGUCAUACACUGGGGUGGAGAAAGACGAACCUGUCAUGUCUUAGUGAGUGUUCCACUACUUCAAGUCCUGCUCCGCCACCACCAGCAUCCCUGUGACUAUGGGAACGGGAAUGUUUGUCCCAGCUCAGCUGCGUUUUUGCUUUCCUGCGCCUGACUUCUCUGCCGCCAGUACGCACCCCUUACAGGACCCCAGGACUGAGUUUGGACAACCCUGCUGUAAAGGACACAUGAGAA